rnacentral:rRNA from 1 species
UACGUAGGGGGCAAGCGUUGUCCGGAUUUAUUGGGCGUAAAGAGCGUGUAGGCGGCUGGGUAGGUCCGCUGUGAAAACUCGAGGCUUAACCUCGAGCUGUCGGCGGAAACCAUCUGGCUAGAGUCCGGAAGAGGAGAAUGGAAUUCCCGGUGUAGCGGUGAAAUGCGCAGAUAUCGGGAAGAACACCCGUGGCGAAGGCGGUUCUCUGGGACGGUACUGACGCUGAGACGCGAAAGCGUGGGGAGCGAACAGG